GAGUGUGAAGUGUUACGGUAGCAUACCGCCCUGUCACGGCGGCGGAGGGGUUCGACUCCCACACAUUCG
rnacentral:tRNA from 1 species